CUCAAAGCCUUUGUUUUCUACUCCUAAUGAGGCCACUGGUACCAAACCUGCCUGUGAAACACGACCAGAUGAGAAAGACCAGAAUGUAAUCUCAUGAACUCGGAGUACAGGCACUUCAGAGAUCUGCAGGAACAUGCCCUUCAGGUUGGCUAUAACGAUGCCAGCCAGCACAGACUGAAUGACAAAGAUGGAUGAUAUUAUCAGAGGCUGAAGAAACGGCCCAAGAGCCAAGAUCACUAUCAUCACCAUCACAGCUGAGAUGAGACCAGCAACCUGCAGCAGUGAGAAGACAGAACAGUUCAAUAUGGCGAGUACUGUAUUCACACAUUGACACAAACAUGUUAAAGUACUUGUGCAAAGGCUUGUUCACUCCAAGAACUAUAACUGUAAACAUACAGUGCCCAGUAUAAAUGCAAGUACACCCCUUACAGAAAUAUAUUUUAAACUAGCUAAAUAAUAAGACAUCUGUAUGUUUAUUAGAUUAGUCAGUACCAAAGCCAAACUGGGACAAAUUUAAAUAACUUAAGAUCACGAUGCAAAAAUUAGUACAACCUAAUGAGUAUGUUAGGGGAAAUUCUUUAAUAAAAAGGAAAAAAUAUAGGUUUUGGCAGUUGAGUUUUUUUUAACACCUUAUUUGUAGUUAAAUGUAUUAUCUUUCUAUUCUUAAAUAUGUUAGGUAUCCACACUCUUAUUUUAUUGAAUAUAGAUGUUUA